UACGUAGGGUGCGAGCGUUAAUCGGAAUUACUGGGCGUAAAGCGUGCGCAGGCGGUUUUGUAAGCCAGAUGUGAAAUCCCCGGGCUCAACCUGGGAAUGGCAUUUGGGACUGCAAGGCUGGAGUGUGGCAGAGGAGACUGGAAUUCCUGGUGUAGCAGUGAAAUGCGUAGGUAUCAGGAGGAAUACCGAUGGCGAAGGCAGGUCUCUGGGCUGACACUGACGCUCAUGCACGAAAGCGUGGGGAGCAAACAGG
rnacentral:rRNA from 1 species